rnacentral:lncRNA from 1 species
UUGACUGCAUAUAUAUAUUUUUACAUUUUCUCAUGUUGCGCCUUUUUUCAUUAAAGCCCAAACUUUAUUUGCGCUUUGCGCUUAAAGCCCCAACAGACUUUAAAGCUUUUUUAGUGCUUUUCGCGAGUCCAUUACUCUCAUGGUCAUUCAACUAUCCCAAAUUAUCUCUUAAAGUUACUUUACUUUCGUUUAUAACAACAAAGUCACUGAACUAUGCCUAUUGCACUCAAAAGACCAAU